UAUGGAGAAGGUGAGCACGGACCCUGCACAAGACUGACACCCAAAUUCGUGAAGCUUUCCCUAUAUAU
rnacentral:snRNA from 1 species